rnacentral:lncRNA from 9 species
CAUGGAGGCAGCUUCCUGAGAGCUGGAGCGAGAGGUGGGAUAAGGUGGACUCGGUUUAUCCACUGGAACCAGAGAAAGAAACUGGGUUAUCUUGUAAAUGUGAUCCUGCUCCUUUCGCAUAACUCACUGGCCGCCUCUGCCUGAAUCGCCGAAGAGUGUUAAGUGGAAAGAAUGCCCUUAUCAUAAGCCGCUAUUUGCUAGACACUAAAGUAAAGAGCUGUAUAGUAAUGAUUUGAUUUAGCCAUCAAGUGACAUCAAUAUAUUUUUUAUUUUACAGAUGAGGAGAUUCAGCCUUUGUGAAGAGAUCUUGGAUGUUGAAGUAAAAUGUGAUUAUUCGUAUAGAAGUAACAGAGAUCUGGCCAAGGAUGGAGCAACAUCUCUCAAAGGCUGAGAACACUCUCUGGGUUGCACUUCGAUGGCAGCGGCAAAAGGGAUCAGCUGAGAUGGUGGAGUAGAGAGACCCAGAGCUCAUGUCCUCUCACAGACACACCAAUAAUACAACUAUUUAUACAAUAGCCAUUGAUGAAAAAGGCUGGAUGCUACUAGAAAAGAUCUUUUACAACUAAAGAUGUUAAAGACCCAUACCCUCAGCCAGAGGCUCACAGGAUCAGCUUUUGACAAUAUCAUUUUUAGGACGUGCGUAACAAUUCAUCAGGUAUUCAGUUUCAAGGAUCUCACUCAGAGCUGGCCCUCUGUGAAUGUUGCUGAUAGGUGCCUGACUGCACAGAGCUGAUGGUGACAAAGGUAAACACCA